rnacentral:tRNA from 1 species
GCUGGCGUAGCUCAACGGUAGAGCAACUGCCUUGUAAGCAGUAGGUUGCGGGUUCAAAUCCCUUCGCCAGCU